AAUGGAAGAACGAGAAGCUGUUUACAAGGGGGUGUAGCGUUGCUGGGGUGACGGGACAAACGUCCUGCAGCAGCAGGUAUUAAACUGAACCCGGAGCUCCUGACGCCCUGGAGACCUUGAACUGAGGCACGCGCACACGCACGCACAUUCUCCUGCAGUUACCGGAUAAAGUUUCUCUUCAAUAAGAGCUUCUGUGUUAUUGGAUGUUAUUUCCUUAUCAAUCAAGCAGCCUAUCAAUAAAGACAGGAUUUAGGACCAUGCUGUCCAUGAGCUGCUCGGACCCCUGGCCGGAGGGCUCGGUGGGUUUGGAGGAGGAGGUCGUGACCGCCGCCACUCGUGCGGAGCUGCUGGACCAGAGCUACGCCGAGUCCAACAUCAGCACGUGCAGCUCCGAUAAUCUAGACGACAGUCUGACGAGCCUGCAGUGGCUUCAGGAGUUUUCAAUCCUCAAUGCCAGCGGUGGGCAACACCAACCCCAUCACCAAAGUCACUUCUUCGGGAGUCAGGUGGGCUCGGAUGCACCUGCGUCUCCUUUAGCCGGAGAUCCGGCGUCUAUCGGUAUGCCGCUGACCCCAGGGAAACCCACGGCCGCGUCUUUCUACAGGGUCCCGUCCAUGGCGGCUCUGCCCAGCCUGGUUGCGCACGGUCACUGUCCGGAUGAAGUCGAUUACAAGACCAAUCCUCACAUUAAACCACCGUACUCAUACGCCACUCUCAUCUGUAUGGCGAUGCAGGCCAGCAAGAAAACCAAAAUCACCCUCUCGUGCAUCUAUAAAUGGAUCACGGACAACUUCUGUUACUUUCGCCACGCGGACCCCACUUGGCAGAACUCCAUCCGCCACAAUUUGUCGUUGAACAAAUGCUUUAUAAAAGUCCCAAGGCAAAAGGACGAACCGGGAAAGGGCGGCUUUUGGAAAAUCGACCCCCAAUACGCGGAGCGUCUCCUCAGCGGUGCCUACAAGAAGCGCCGAAUGCCCCCUGUGCAAAUAAACCCGGCUUUUCAGAACCGACUCAGGAUGAACUCCCAAGCAGGACAACCAGUAUUCGGCACAGGAAUGGCCGGAAGUCUUUGCGUGGGUCCCGAGUCCCAACAGCUCCUGAAGGAGUUUGAGGAAGCCACGGGAGGCGAUCAGAACUGGGAUCCUCGUUUGGCCGAGGCCACUAUGCUUGGCUGUUGGGUCUCAGGGAAGGGCAACAAGAGGAAGCAGCCAUACGCGCACAGGACGGGGAGCAAAGCUCUGCGACGUUCAAGCUCUCCGCUGCUGUCCAUGGACGAGCAGGAGGAUUUAAGCUCUCUUAAAGGCAACUUUGACUGGGACGCCCUGCUGGACUCAGCUCUGAAUGGAGAGUUGAGCUUGAACGAAGGGAGUCUGUUGGGCCCCUUAACACGUGAUGAUGACCUGAUGGUCAGGGGCACUCAUAUCAGCCCACUCGAGGCGCCCGGUGGUGUGGUUGAGAGCCACGUCUUGAUGGAAACCCAAAGGAGCAGCGAAGUAGACUUUGACGAAGAAACCUUCAUGGCCACGGCGUUUCUGCAAAGUCCCUGGUCGGAGGAGAGCGCACGUCCGGAUUUCCUUUGCAGCUCGACGGUUAAUAUUGAUCAGCUGUUUGACUUGGGAGAGUCUCUCGCAGGUAGUGUACACGUGAUUAUAAUGUGAUGGCUUGGUCAGAUGAGAGGCUCUGAAACCGGAUCCAGGUAUUAUCCUCCAGUCCUUCUGAUGACUACAGGUAAGCUAUCGUGCUGACAAAAGGCCCUAAUGCUGGAUCCGAACUGGGACCCCCUCACAGAUCAGCUCCGCCAGGGCUUUUUCUGCUAACACUAAACACGCUCUCAGUUGUCCACCCCCAGCAACGGGACCCACCGUUUGUGGACGCGUCUCCCAUUUAAUGACUUGAUUGGAACAGAUGGACGAUGAAGAGAAACAGAGACUUCUAUAAUC